GAACAUUUUCAAAAGUUAUGUUGAAAAAGUUCUACAUUCUAUAUGCAUUUUUUAUAUUUUAAGCCCCCCCAUAUAUAGGGAAAUAGUCUGAUUUUAAAAAAAAGUAUAUCCAAUGAAAGAUGUAUAUAAAUACUACUUCUCAUGAAAAAAUUGUAUUGAUCCAUACAUUUUUUAAAAAGUUAUAGCACUUUAAAGUAAAAAAUGUAAAUUAUAAAAUCGAAAAUUUUCACACAAAAAUUGCAUUCGGUAGCCGUUUUCACCAUGAAGACAAGUCCAGAGGUCAAAAUUUUUUUUUCAAAUUAAAGUACAUUACAUUAGCUUUAAUUUAAGAUAUAUAUAAAAGUGUCAGACCUUCCGGAACAUUUUCAAAAUUUAAUUUUUUGUGAAAAAGUUGUCAUUUUAAAUCCCCCCCUGUGGGCAGAAAAUGGGUCAAAUUUACAAAAAAAAUAUACCAAAUGAUAGGUUAAGACAUCAAACAUUUAUAAAAAAAAUAAAUAUAUUGAUAUGUUCAUUUUUGAAAAAGUUACGGCAGUUUUUAGUAAAAAAAAUUGAAAAAUUUCGAAAAUUAGCGAUUUUUAAAUUUGUAAUUUUUUUGGAGGUUUCCCCCAUUUACGGGGAACGAGGGAAAAUUUUUUCAAUUUUGAAGGGUAAUGUCUUCGACUAGAUACAAUUUGUGAUCUUUUGACGUAUCGUUGAAAGAAAUCCGUUCGGUGAGAGCUGAGAAUAAGUGGUAACAGACACAAAAAAAAAAAUAAAAAAAAAUAAA